rnacentral:rRNA from 1 species
CCCUACGGGGGGCAGCAGUGGGGAAUAUUGGACAAUGGGGGAAACCCUGAUCCAGCGACGCCGCGUGAGUGAAGAAGUAUUUCGGUACGUAAAGCUCUAUCAGCAGAAAAGAAAAUGACGGUACCUGACUAAGAAGCCCCGGCUAACUACGUGCCAGCAGCCGCGGUAAUACGUAGGGGGCAAGCGUUAUCCGGAUUUACUGGGUGUAAAGGGAGUGUAGGCGGGAAAGCAAGUCAGUAGUGAAAACUAUGGGCUUAACCCAUAGCCUGCUUUUGAAACUGUUUUUCUUGAGUGAAGUAGAGGCA